UGGAUUGCUUUGUCCUCUUUGUCCCUUCAGAUUCGAAGGGUUUCGACUUUCGAUCCAUCUUCUCGACAAUCUCACUCCCUCAGCCUCAAAUGGCUAUUCUCACAAUCCAACUCUUCUCCGCCAAAUUUUCUUCUCAUCUCUCGAACUUCUCUUUUACAAAUCUACUCAUCCACAACCACAAGCUCACAACCACCCGAAUCUCGUGCGCCCGCAGCUUCAGCGAAGCAACGCUCGCUGUCAGGAUUCGCAAAAUCAACUCCGACUUGCUUCAGACGGAGGAGGCCAUGAAGAAAAGCCGCGCGAUUCUCUUCGGAGAGCUGUGCGAGUACCUCAGCUUGAAGGAAGACGAGGCGAAGCACAAGUGGAGGAAGAUCGAUGAAGCGGAGAAAUCGGCUUUGAUCAAAGGUUUUGUGGAAGAGUGGGGUUCGAAUUUUCAUCCAUUAUCGGCGAGAUCUGCGAAGGAGAUGAUGGAGGAGUAUUUGCGAGAAGAGAGUGAUUCUUCGUCUGAGAAAUCAUCUUCUGCUACUUCUGCCUUCUCUUUCCCUGGAUUGAAGAGGAUAAUAGGGUUUUCAGAUUAGCAAGCAAUUUGUGUGAAAUUUGAUAGGUACGUGGAUAUGGAUUAGGGAGCAAGUUUGCUUGGUAAGCUCUUUAGCUGUUGUUUUUGAUAAAUUGGAGGAAUCAUCUCAGAAUAAGGGGAGCUCUUGAGCGUUCCUUCAAACAAGAGGCAACCCAUAAGCUUUUGGAAUUCACCCUUUUGGAGGUGGUUGAAACUGAUUUGUGACAGAGACAGAAAAAAAGGGGGGGGGGUUAUAUACUUGCUCUCAAAUAAAUGAAAAGUUUCAGAGGAUUUUCUUGGAAUUCAAGGCUCUAUCAAGCUCAACAAAUGAUGUUAGAGAUAAUCCAACCGAUAUGUUGGCAAAGUUGUUGCCGGCUGAAAAUUCAAUUAUAGCUUCAGAGCUUGAAGCCCUUGGAGGCUUGGACGGUAGUAGUUAUAUCUAAUUUCCCGUUACAUGAAAUUUUCAAUCCAAGGUGGAGAAUUGUGGGGUGACUUGACUCUUUUUCUUUUUCUUUUUUUUUUCUUUUUUUGGAUGUCCAACCCAAAUUGUGCUGAAAUCCAAAAUUUUGUAGGGAUCUCAAUCCAAAAGGAAUUGUUUAUGCUUCUUUUUA